GACGAACGCUGGCGGCGUGCUUAACACAUGCAAGUCGAACGAAGCUUGAUUACGGAUUCUUCGGAUGAGGUAUGAUAUGACUGAGUGGCGGACGGGUGAGUAACGCCUGAGUAACCUGCCCUUCAGAGGGGGAUAGCGUUUGGAAACGAACGGUAAUACCGCAUAAUGUAUUUUGACCGCAUUAUCGACAUACCAAAGAUUUAUCGCUGAAGGAUGGACUCGCGUCUGAUUAGGUAGUUGGUGGGGUAACGGCCUACCAAGCCGACGAUCAGUAGCCGGACUGAGAGGUUGCUCGGCCACAUUGGGACUGAGACACGGCUCAGACUCCUACGGGAGGGAGCAGUGGGGAAUAUUACACAAUGGGCGCAAGUCUGAUGCAGCAACGCCGCGUGAAGGACGACGGUUUUCGGAUUGUAAACUUCUGUUCUUAGUGAAGAAUACUGACGGUAGCUAAGGAGCAAGCCACGGCUAACUACGUG
rnacentral:rRNA from 1 species